rnacentral:lncRNA from 1 species
AGCAGGGCUGUGGCCAGCCAGCGCCCAGAGGAGAGGACCCCGGCUCGCCCGAGUCUCUGUGGUGGAGUGAUUAAACAAACCUCAGCCUCAGAGGGUCAGCUGACCCCAGACGGUGACUCAGAGGGGCUGCUCUUGGGAGGGACCCGAGUGGCAGUGGGGUAGGUGGGACCUUUGCUUUCUGUGUCUGGUGGCUCUCCAUCUGGGCUCAAUGACCUCAUGAAGCCGACUCAGGCCGCCCACCCUUCUCUCACAGAGGGAGACUCAGGCCUCACGUGGGUGUUCCCGGCUCUGCAAGGCCAGGGUCAGGGUGGUGGCCUGGGAAGGCCCGGCUCUGUGCUCUUGCUGACCAGCUCAUCGCCCCUGGGGAGCCAGCCCCACCUCCAGGACUGGCCACUCUAAGCAGCAGCCAGCACUCUGUGGGAAGGGACAGUGGCCCUGCUGCAGGAAAAGGACCUUGUAAAGACACUUUUUCAGCCAGGGCUUUGCAAACUGGGGAGCACUGUGUGGUCACCUGUGUCCAGUCACUAAGGGCUGAGACCAACAUGUGCAAGGCCCCGGGGCAUAGCCACGUCCGGGGCAGAGGUGGGUGUCCUCUGCUGUCCCCUGCCAGAGCCUCUCCUCACACUUCCUGUCUGGAUCAGAGCCCUAGUCUGAAGCCUGAGGCUGCUGAGCAGAUGACCCCUGUAGGCCCGAGGCAGUGCUCCUCCACCCCCUCCCUCCCUCAGGGCCGUGGACCAGCUCCGAGUGCCUGAGGGUGACCCGAAACUCCCUGUAGCCAUGACAGUGGGCCCAGCUUUUGGGAACCCAGGCUGGCCACCACAGCACACUCCCGGUCAGUCCGUGUAGUGCCAUGCACUCCAUUCAUCAUAAUUAUUUUAAUUAAGAAGAUAAGAAACAGCUCAUCAAAGAUUUAAUUAUAAUGAGCAGCUAACAACACUUGGAUGAGUCACAUGACCCGAGUGGCUGCUGGUUCUCACCUCCCUGUCAGGCACCGAAGACAGCGCAGGAGGCACCCAGAAGGUAGGGUCCCGGCCUCCCAACACCGUGAGGGGCCCCGCCAGCCCUGACUGUCCCCAGUUGGGAGGACCGUCCUGGUGUGGCCACUGUCCUGAGCUCAGGAGGGUGCACAUCCCAUGGUGUCCUCGAUCUCCGUGGAGGACAUUCGCUUUGUGCCCCGCCCUGGCCACACCCACCACAGGGCACGCUCUCCAGGCCAGCUCCUGGUUCACUGCUGGGACCCGAGGAAGGAGCACAUGGAGGGACCGGGAGCUCUCUCGGCUGGGCCUGGGGCUGGGAGCUGGGUACAGGGAAGACUUCCUGGAAGGGCCUGGGCCUGGCUUGAGAGUGGGUGGCAGCCUGCAGGCCACCUGGGGACACUGGCCUAGAACCCACAGAAACAGGGGCAGUGGGAGCAGCUUGAGAUGGGCACCAGUAGUGUGUGCUGGGCCCACUGCCCGGGCUCCGUGUACCCUGGUAGUGCGAUGUCACCUUCAGAGGCCCCUGUCUCCUUUGGGGACGCUGACCCUGCCCUCACAGAAUGGAAGGAGGCUGCCACGGCCUGCCUGAUCUAGGCUGGACAUGGAGUGGGCAGAAGGGCACCAGAGCCCCAGCGCAGGCCGGAGGUGCUGGGGUCAGGGCUCACGUCUUUCCAGACAGCCUGGGUCACAGCCAGGAGCUCUG